GGGUGUGAGGGCGAUCUGGCUGCGACAUCUGUCACCCCAUUGAUUGCCAGGGUUGAUUUUGCUGAUCUGGCUGGCUAGGUGGGUGUCCCCUUCCUCCCUGGCUUCUCCGUGUGUCCCUCCUGAAACUGCAUGCUCAGUCAAAGAGGACCACCAUUCCCGAUAGAGGAGGACCAGUCUUCGGUCAAGGGCAUAGGAGUAGCUGUGUCCCCCUGGCAGAGCCUCCAAACAAGCUCUCAAGAAACAAAAAGCCUAUUUCUUAUUAUGUCAGAGUAUUUUAACUUUUCAGGGAAAAAAUACUCUAUAAACAGAUAAAGGCUAUGUUGUUAUUACUUUUAUUCU
rnacentral:snRNA from 1 species